rnacentral:lncRNA from 1 species
CGCUCCCAGUGAAUUAAAAGUGUCAUGAUCCAUUAUCAAGAGAAUAUUCGGACGCUGGCAUUGGUAUGUCUUUGUCAUGCACUGGAUAUUGAUGGAUAUUUUAUACUUUCUUCAUAUGAAAUUAUUAAUGGAAGAAGAAUAGAAGAUAUUUACAUGAAGUGGAUGAAAAGUAUUGUCUCGUUGGUCCCCCGUGAGGCUAGUCGCACUACCUAGCGCUUGAAAUCCAACACAUUUCUGUAACUCGAGAUUGCAUUAGAAACACAUUGUGGGCCCGAUGAUCACAAUUCAAUAGUUCCACGAAAGCCGCUCUGCAUGAGGCCUAGAACAGUGCGCCUAUCUACAUAGAGUCAUCUCACAGAGGGGCAUUCAGAAAGUCAGAUUCGAUCGCCAGCAGCUUUCUGAUACAUGUACUCCAGAUACGGAACCAUUCAGCCUAUUCGAUGGAAUUCAACCUGAGACAUAAUAUUGAGAAUUCGACGUACUCCAUAUUGCAGUUUCAACCUCACAGCAUUUCAAUGAUCUCGCAAAUGAUAGUAAUAGGGGCGAAACAAUUUCCUGGUUGCAAGAGCGAGCUAAUAUUAUCAUCCAUUUCACUACUAGUCAAGGGGCCACCAAAAAUGAUACAUGAUGCCUUGCUUUGCUGGAUUGUUAUUAUAUAGCGCAAUCUUCAGCAAAACGAAAUCCAAGACGCUAGUAUAAUUCAUAUUCUGACAUGACUGGCAGACCUGACAGUCCGCUCUUACUACAGCAAAGCGACCAUGGAUUCUACUCAAAGGAACUCCGUGCUAGCCGCCCUUGAGACACUAGAAAACGCGGAAGAACGGGAGAUUCUCCGGUACAUACUCUGAGCGCUCAUUAAACGUUGGCAGUCGACUACCGUACUCUCUGUCGCUAAACCAACCUCCGCUGAUAACCGUCCACGCGACGCUGGGGAUCUAUUUGAAAUUAUUAAACAGGAACAAUUUGGUCUCCGUACAUUCGUAAGCGACGAUCCUAGCUCCGCUAUACGAACUAUUCGACACUACGACAACCUGUCGGAAUCCGUGUAUUGUGUAUUAUCCUUGUAACACAUCUUGCUUAACAAAAUUGUAUGUCUGUCCAU